rnacentral:rRNA from 1 species
GUACACUCCUGCGGGAGGCAGCAGUGGUGAAUAUUGCACAAUGGGCGCAAGCCUGAUGCAGCCAUGCCGCGUGUAUGAAGAAGGCCUUCGGGUUGUAAAGUACUUUCAGCGGGGAGGAAGGCGAUAAGGUUAAUAACCUUGUCGAUUGACGUUACCCGCAGAAGAAGCACCGGCUAACUCCGUGCCAGCAGCCGCGGUAAUACGGAGGGUGCAAGCGUUAAUCGGAAUUACUGGGCGUAAAGCGCACGCAGGCGGUCUGUCAAGUCGGAUGUGAAAUCCCCGGGCUCAACCUGGGAACUGCAUUCGAAACUGGCAGGCUAGAGUCUUGUAGAGGGGGGUAGAAUUCCAGGUGUAGCGGUGAAAUGCGUAGAGAUCUGGAGGAAUACCGGUGGCGAAGGCGGCCCCCUGGACAAAGACUGACGCUCAGGUGCGAAAGCGUGGGGAGCAAACAGGAUUAGAUACCCUUGUAGUCC